rnacentral:rRNA from 1 species
UACGAAGGGGGCGAGCGUUGUUCGGAAUUACUGGGCGUAAAGGGCGCGUAGGCGGUGUGUCAAGUCAGGCGUGAAAGCCCCGGGCUCAGCCUGGGAACGGCGCUUGAGACUGGCACGCUCGAGUUCGGGAGAGGAUGGUGGAAUUCCCAGUGUAGAGGUGAAAUUCGUAGAUAUUGGGAAGAACACCGAUGGCGAAGGCAGCCAUCUGGACCGACACUGACGCUGAGGCGCGAAAGCGUGGGGAGCAAACAGG